rnacentral:rRNA from 1 species
GUGGGGAAUUUUGGACAAUGGGCGAAAGCCUGAUCCAGCCAUGCCGCGUGCAGGAUGAAGGCCUUCGGGUUGUAAACUGCUUUUGUACGGAACGAAAAGCCUCUUUCUAAUAAAGAGAGGUCAUGACGGUACCGUAAGAAUAAGCACCGGCUAACUACGUGCCAGCAGCCGCGGUAAUACGUAGGGUGCAAGCGUUAAUCGGAAUUACUGGGCGUAAAGCGUGCGCAGGCGGUUAUAUAAGACAGAUGUGAAAUCCCCGGGCUCAACCUGGGAACUGCAUUUGUGACUGUAUAGCUAGAGUACGGUAGAGGGGGAUGGAAUUCCGCGUGUAGCAGUGAAAUGCGUAGAUAUGCGGAGGAACACCGAUGGCGAAGGCAAUCCCCUGGACCUGUACUGACGCUCAUGCACGAAAGCGUGGGGAGCAAACAGGAUUAGAAACCCGUGUAGUCC